rnacentral:rRNA from 1 species
CCCUUAGAUGUUCUGGGCAGCACGCGCGCUACAAUGGUCUUCGCAAACGGAUGCAUUCUCGAAGGAGAAUGCCAAUCUUGGAAUCUAUGCCUUGGUCGGGACAGUUGCUAGCAAUUUUUCGACUCGAACCAGGAAUUCCUUGUAAUCGUGAUUCAUCACAUCACGAUGAAUACGUCCCUGCCCUUUGUACACACCGCCCGUCGCUCCUACCGAUCGAAGAGUUAGGUGAAUUGUUUUGAUCGAUAAGAUUUGACUAUGGUCAACUCUCGUUGUGAAAUUCUGUGAAUCUGACUGUUUAGAGGAAGGAAAAGUCGUAACA